GCCAGGGAACUACGAGCAAAGUUUAAAACCCAAAGGACUUGACGGUGCCCCAUACCCCCCUAGAGGAGCCUGUCCUAUAACCGAUGAUCCCAGUUUAACCUCACCACUUUUAGCUUAUCAGCUUGUAUACUUCCGUCGCCAGCCUACCACGUGAGCGAAAUUCAGUUAGGUCAAUCGGCCAAAUAACUUAAUAGACCGCCAAUACGUCAGGUCAAAGUGCAGCAAAUGAAGUGGAAAGAGAUUGGUACACUUUUUAGCAUAAAAAAUUUACGAAAAACAAAUAAUGAAACUUUGUCAGAAGGUGGAUUUAGCAGUAAAAAGAAUUCAUAAUAUUCAUUUUAAGCUGGCAUUGGAGCGUGU
rnacentral:rRNA from 1 species